rnacentral:rRNA from 1 species
CUUUUACAAUGAAGAGUUUGAUCCUGGCUCAGGAUGAACGCUAGCUACAGGCUUAACACAUGCAAGUCGAGGGGCAGCAUUUCAGUUUGCUUGCAAACUGGAGAUGGCGACCGGCGCACGGGUGAGUAACACGUAUCCAACCUGCCGAUAACUCGGGGAUAGCCUUUCGAAAGAAAGAUUAAUACCCGAUGGUAUAAUCAGACCGCAUGGUUUGAUUAUUAAAGAAUUUCGGUUAUCGAUGGGGAUGCGUUCCAUUAGGCAGUUGGUGAGGUAACGGCUCACCAAACCUUCGAUGGAUAGGGGUUCUGAGAGGAAGGUCCCCCACAUUGGAACUGAGACACGGUCCAAACUCCUACGGGAGGCAGCAGUGAGGAAUAUUGGUCAAUGGGCGCAGGCCUGAACCAGCCAAGUAGCGUGAAGGAUGACUGCCCUAUGGGUUGUAAACUUCUUUUAUAUGGGAAUAAAGUUUUCCACGUGUGGAAUUUUGUAUGUACCAUAUGAAUAAGGAUCGGCUAACUCCGUGCCAGCAGCCGCGGUAAUACGGAGGAUCCGAGCGUUAUCCGGAUUUAUUGGGUUUAAAGGGAGCGUAGGUGGACAGUUAAGUCAGUUGUGAAAGUUUGCGGCUCAACCGUAAAAUUGCAGUUGAUACUGGCUGUCUUGAGUACAGUAGAGGUGGGCGGAAUUCGUGGUGUAGCGGUGAAAUGCUUAGAUAUCACGAAGAACUCCGAUUGCGAAGGCAGCUCACUGGACUGCAACUGACACUGAUGCUCGAAAGUGUGGGUAUCAAACAGGAUUAGAUACCCUGGUAGUCCACACAGUAAACGAUGAAUACUCGCUGUUUGCGAUAUACAGUAAGCGGCCAAGCGAAAGCAUUAAGUAUUCCACCUGGGGAGUACGCCGGCAACGGUGAAACUCAAAGGAAUUGACGGGGGCCCGCACAAGCGGAGGAACAUGUGGUUUAAUUCGAUGAUACGCGAGGAACCUUACCCGGGCUUAAAUUGCAUUUGAAUAAUCUGGAAACAGGUUAGCCGCAAGGCAAAUGUGAAGGUGCUGCAUGGUUGUCGUCAGCUCGUGCCGUGAGGUGUCGGCUUAAGUGCCAUAACGAGCGCAACCCUUAUCUUUAGUUACUAACAGGUCAUGCUGAGGACUCUAGAGAGACUGCCGUCGUAAGAUGUGAGGAAGGUGGGGAUGACGU